UUCCUUGUCUGUCACCAUUGAAAAUUGUUACUGACAGAAUUUUAAUGGCUUGGGUGGAAGCUUUGACAAAUUGAUAAGCUUACUGGUUAGUUUAUUACAGAGAUCUGAUCUUGAUUUGGUCUUCCGCAGGAUCUGCCAAGUUCGUGGAUGUUGUCCCUUGAAGGAAAGAGAAAGAGGUUGACUACUUGGUCAGCAAUAAUGUGCUAAUCCUAAAGUUACUCCAGACGUAACGAGACAUUCUUUAUAAGGGUGUAGAAAUCUCUCUCUAGUGGAUGCGUUUUAAAAACUUUGAGAGAAAGUCCAAAGAGGGCAAUAUCUGCUUACGGUGGAUUUGGGCUCUUACAAGGAGGGGGAGCUGGAGCUUUCAGUCGCUUUGUUCGUCAUCAAGGAUGGAGAGGGAUUCUUCCAUUGUGAAACUCCAUCAACAACAAUGGUAGCAGAGGAGCAACAAAGCUGAAUCAACAACGCUUGAAAGCCGAAGA